UAUGUGUGUGUGUGUGUGUGUGUGUGUGUGUGUGUUUCUGUUCUCCAGCAUAUCCAUUGCCUUGCUGUGCAGUUUCUUGCUGGGGCUGGGGGACAGCUGCUUUAACACCCAGCUCUACAGCAUCCUGGGCUGUGUGUACGGAGAGGAAAGUGCACCUGCCUUCACCAUCUUCAAAUUCAUCCAGUCCAUAUGUGCAGCCCUGGCCUUCUUCUACAGUGGAUACCUGCUCCUCUCGUGGCAGCUGCUGCUCAUGGUGCUGCUAGGAUUUGUGGGAACUCUCUGCUUCUUCCUGGUGGAGAAGAUUCAGAACCUGACCGAAGCCUUGGAACAACCGUAACCGUCCCGGACAUCUCAUCCCAUCCGUUCACUUUCCGUUAUACGGGGCCAAAAUUUGGUAUCGUCUCAAAAGAAGGAUAUGCACUAUUUUAUAUCAGCUUUAAAUGAAGUAACUCAGUGCAAUACACAAAUAAUAUUAUUAUACGAGUUAUUUAUGUGUUAAGCAAACGGUCACUUGAGAAAGACUGUACAUUUCAGUUUAAUCUUUGUACAUUUCAGUUUAAUCUUUGUUAGGCUCAUCAUGCUGGCCUUCCUUGUACAUUUUUCUCAGGGCUGUAUAAGAAUCAUGACCUUUCUGCACCAGAGACAGCUUUAUGCUCUAAUAGUUCUUUAACGUCAGAUAUUAUUGGGACAAUCACAUAAUAAAAAUUAUACUGUGUGCAGGAAGAUAUUUUUUACUUUAAUGGAUUUUGACAGUUAUGGUAAUUUAUGAUUGUACUUAGCAGGUAAGUUAUGGAUAUGUCCAGCUAUGAAAGAUGAAAGUCAGUUUGGCACCAAAGACACCUGACAGUAAUGGAGGCAAAUUCACUAUGAAUUCACUGUUAAAUUCCUUUUAAUUACUCCAGGAAAAUACAUUCUGAGGUUCUGCCGAUUUUUACCAGUGCAAUUGCUAUAUACAAGACUUCAUAACUUCACAAUGAUAACUUUACUACAUAAUAAUACAUUUCACUACAACAAUCAGUACCAUUUCAAAAAAAAAAAAAAACGCAAAAAUAAAGGAACAUUGUUCGCAGUUCUUUUACACAAGGUCACAAGGUCAAUGUAAUAUCACAACUUAUGCCAUUUGUUUUUGUUCACUGUAAUGCUACAAGUCUAGAUCAGAGUGAACAUUUAAAAAAUGUUUGUUAGUUAUGCUUAUUUUUAUGACAGUAUAGAGAGCUUCUUAAAGUGUGACCAAAAUAACAUUUUAAUUUUGUGUUUCGUUUGUUUAAUCAACUGACAUUGGCCUAGAUGGCUUAUUUGUGUUUAUUCAUGUUAGUGUUUUGUAAUACUGACAUUGGUGUUUUUUAUUGUGUUUUUUUGUGUAUUUUUACACUUUUAUAUUGGAAUAAAGAUGUAUGCCAUUUAUUUAAA